rnacentral:rRNA from 1 species
GAUGAACGCUGACAGAAUGCUUAACACAUGCAAGUCAACUUGAACUUCGGUUUGGGUGGCGGACGGGUGAGUAACGCGUAAAGAACUUGCCUCACAGCUAGGGACAACAUUUGGAAACGAAUGCUAAUACCUGAUAUUAUGAUUUUAGGGCAUCCUAGAAUUAUGAAAGCUAUAUGCGCUGUGAGAGAGCUUUGCGUCCCAUUAGCUAGUUGGAGAGGUAACGGCUCACCAAGGCGAUGAUGGGUAGCCGGCCUGAGAGGGUGGACGGCCACAAGGGGACUGAGACACGGCCCUUACUCCUACGGGAGGCAGCAGUGGGGAAUAUUGGACAAUGGACCAAGAGUCUGAUCCAGCAAUUCUGUGUGCACGAUGAAGUUUUUCGGAAUGUAAAGUGCUUUCAGUUGGGAAGAAAAAAAUGACGGUACCAACAGAAGAAGUGACGGCUAAAUACGUG